AAAUUCCAUUCUCCACAUUCAUAACAGAGAAAAGAAAUCUGAUCCCUCGUCCUGCAAGAAGAGGUGACGGCUCAGAAAUCGAGCAAGCCUGGCCAGAAUUCAAGGCUGCAGAAUCUCUUCCCCUCCAGAGGUGGCUGAACUACAAUUCCCAGCAGCCAACUGCAAGCAGUAGAGGAUUCUGGGAUUGUACAUCUGGAGGGCCACUGGUUGCAGCUGCUUCCCUGGAUUAUUAUUUUUUUGCUGUAAUAUUUUUGGAAUCUUUUUGCAAGUAUCUUUGGCUUCAGCCUUUUACCUCCUGGAUGCAGUAAGGUUGGAGCGGAGCAUUAUGGAUAGAAAGCUGAUAGAUUUAAACUUAGUUCGGGAAAGCUGCAGGUAACACAAAUUGUUCCUUGUGAAUAAAAGCUAAUGUAGUUGACA
rnacentral:lncRNA from 1 species